GACGAACGCUGGCGGCGUGCUUAACACAUGCAAGUCGAGCGGUAAGGCCCUUUCGGGGGUACACGAGCGGCGAACGGGUGAGUAACACGUGGGUGACCUGCCCUCAGCUCUGGGAUAAGCCUGGGAAACCGGGUCUAAUACUGGAUAUGACUCCAUGACGCAUGUUGUGGGGUGGAAAGCCUUGUGCGGCUGAGGAUGGGCCCGCGGCCUAUCAGCUUGUUGGUGGGGUGAGGCCUACCAAGGCGACGACGGGUAGCCGGCCUGAGAGGGCGACCGGCCACACUGGGACUGAGACACGGCCCAGACUCCUACGGGGGGCAGCAGUGGGGAAUCUUGCGCAAUGGGCGAAAGCCUGACGCAGCGACGCCGCGUGAGGGAUGACGGCCUGGUUGU
rnacentral:rRNA from 1 species